rnacentral:lncRNA from 1 species
AAAAAAAAAAAAGUCUUGACAGAUCAACCAUCUUCCACCUCCACUAACGUGAAUGCCAUCAGCCAUCACUCUUCAUCGGAGUUUUCCACAAUCGACCCUGGCAGAAACAUUUGGAACACAACAAUCAAGCACAGAAACACCACCACCUUACAAAUCCAUUGCAAGUAAUCGAGCUUCUUAAAGAGCAACCUCAAAAAGCUCGAUCUGAACCUGUGAGAAAAAGGAUUCUUCUCUUUUCUAGUGAACUGAGUACCAAACAAGCUCCCCUUCUUCAAUGGGAUCCCAGAUUCGAAGGAACCCAUUAGAGUCUCAUCAAUUAGGUCGCAGCAGAAUGGGGAAAAGCUUCAAACUUGGGCGAAAAUUGGCAUGCAGACUAACACCCAGAUGCCAGCCCUUUAAUGGGGAUUCAACCAGAGCUGAAAAAGACCCAAUCUUUGUGCUUGAAUUCAAGAAAAAGGCCAAGAAAGAUUCUGGGUGUGAGAAAACAGGGUUUUCAUGUGGAUUUGGGUAAUGAUUCCAAUUUCUGUGGUUGUUUCUGGUUUUGGUUGCAGGUUCUGAUGCGGUGAUGAUGAUGAAUGAUGGCCAUGGUUGCGCGGAUAGUUGCACGGUGGUGGAAGACGAAUUGGGUUUCUGAUAUUCGGAAUUGUGCUUACAGAUCUGGCUUUGAUGCAGGUUGCGAAAAUGGAGGAAGAUUGAUGGAAGAAAACGGCCAUGGAUGUUGCAGCGUGGUUGCGAUUCGAAGGGGAUGACGCUCGAAGUUUAACGGCGACACGAUUUUGGAUUCUCCGCGACGGCGAAACUGUUGCUUGCUCACAGAAGGUUGGACGGUGGGGUGAAGGGUUUGUAAUGGUGGUGACGACGUCGCGGUGCUUGUGGAGAGGUGGCUGCUAGCGGC